GCCGCCCGAACCUCCCAACCCUUGUGUCUACCAAACCCAAUGUAUGUUGCUUCGGCGGGCCGGUUUCCCCGUCACACGGGAGACCGCCGGGCCCCUUGCGCCUGGAGCGCGCCCGCCGACGGCCCACACCAA
rnacentral:rRNA from 1 species